rnacentral:rRNA from 1 species
UGGGGAAUAUUGGACAAUGGGCGAAAGCCUGAUCCAGCCAUGCCGCGUGUGUGAAGAAGGUCUUCGGAUUGUAAAGCACUUUAAGUUGGGAGGAAGGGCAGUAAGUUAAUACCUUGCUGUUUUGACGUUACCGACAGAAUAAGCACCGGCUAACUCUGNGCCAG